rnacentral:rRNA from 1 species
AUUGAACGCUGGCGGCAAGCCUAACACAUGCAAGUCGAACGAGUGGCGGACGGGUGAGUAAUGUCUGGGAAACUGCCUGAUGGAGGGGGAUAACUACUGGAAACGGUAGCUAAUACCGCAUACCAUCGGAUGUGCCCAGAUGGGAUUAGCUAGUAGGUGGGGUAAAGGCUCACCUAGGCGACGAUCCCUAGCUGGUCGGAGAGGAUGACCAGCCACACUGAAACUGAGACACGGUCCAGACUCCUACGAGAGGCAGCGAGGGGGAAUAUUGAACAAGGGGCGCAAGCCUGAUGCAGCCAUGCCGCGUAUAUGAAGAAGGCCUUCGGGUUGUAAAGUGCUUUCAGCGGGGAGACGUUACCCGCAGAGGAAGCACCGGCUAGCUCCGUGCCAGCAGCCGCGGUAAUUC